rnacentral:rRNA from 1 species
AACGAACGCUGGCGGCAGGCUUAACACAUGCAAGUCGAGCGCCCCGCAAGGGGAGCGGCAGACGGGUGAGUAACGCGUGGGAAUCUACCCAUCUCUACGGAAUAACGCAUGGAAACGUGUGCUAAUACCGUAUACGUCCUUCGGGAGAAAGAUUUAUCGGAGAUGGAUGAGCCCGCGUUGGAUUAGCUAGUUGGUGGGGUAAAGGCCUACCAAGGCGACGAUCCAUAGCUGGUCUGAGAGGAUGAUCCGCCACACUGGGACUGGGACACGGCCCAGCCGCCUACGGGAGGCAGCAGUGGGGAAUAUUGGACAAUGGGCGCAAGCCUGAGCCAGCGAUGCCGCGGGAGUGAUGAAGGCCCUAGGGUUGUAAAGCUCUUUCACCGGUGAAGAUAAUGACGGUAACCGGGGAAGAAGCCCCGGCUAACUGCGUGCCAGCCGCCGCCGUAAGAC